rnacentral:rRNA from 1 species
AAUGAACGUUGGCGGCGUGGAUUAGGCAUGCAAGUCGAGCGCGAAGCCCCGCAAGGGGUGGAAAGCGGCGAAAGGGACAGUAACACGUGGAUUAUCUACCCCUCGAUCUGGGAUAGCUGCGGGAAACUGCAGGUAAUACCAGAUGAUGUCUUCGGACCAAAGGUGUGAUUCCGUCGAGGGAUGAGUCCGCGUCCUAUUAGCUAGUUGGUAGGGUAACGCUUACCAAGGCCAUGAUGGGUAGCGGGUGUGAGAGCAUGACCCGCGUCACGUGGGACUGAGAUACUGCCCAGACACCUACGGGAGCUG